UUUUUUUUUUUUUUUUUUUUUUUUAAGGGCCGGACCUGUGGCAUAUGGAGGGUCCCAGGCUAGGGGUUAAAUCAGAGCUACAGCUGCCGGCCUAUAGCACAGCCACAGCAACUCAGAAUCUGAGCCAUGUCUGCGACCUACACCACAGCUCAUGGCAAUGCUGGAUCCUUAACCUACUGAGCAAGGCCAGGGAUCAAACCUGUGUCCUCAUUGAUACUAGUCAGAUUUGUUUCCGCUGAGCCACGAUGGGAACUCCAGUCCCCCCCCCCCCCUUUUUAGCGGCACACCUGCAGCAUAUGGAGGUUCCCACUCUAGGGGUUGAAUUGGAGCUGUAGCUGCCAUGCUAUGCCACAGCCACGGCAACGCAGGAUCCGAGUUGCAGCUUCGACCUAUGCUGCAGCUUGUGGCAAUGCCAUACCCACAGAGCGAGGCCAGGGAUGGAACUUUCGUCCUCAGGGAUACUGUUAGGGUUCUUAACCCACUGAGCCACAGUGGGAACUCCCUUACUGGCUUUAGUUUUGAAAUCUUUUUUUCUCCUUUCUUCUUAUUUGGCUGCCCUGGGGCAUAUGGAGUUCCAGGGCCAGGGAUCAAAUCUGAGCUGAAGUUGCAGCCUGUGCCUCAGCUGCAGCAAUGCUGGAUCCUUUAAAUUCACACUGCUGGGCUAGGGGUCUAAUCAGAGCUCUAGCUGCCAGCCUAUGCCACAGCCACAGCAACUCGGGAUCCGAGCCGCGUCCGCAACCUACACCACAGCUCACAGCAACGCCGGAUCGUUAACCCACUGAGCAAGGGCAGGGACCGAACCCACAACCUCAUGGUUCCUAGUUGGAUUUGUUAACCACUGCGCCGCGACGGGAACUCCAGCAUGGUGCUUUCUGAUGUAGAAGAUUAUUAAUGAUCGAUUCAAUUUAUUUAAUAGUUAAUAGGCCUGUUAAAAAAGCAUUUUUUGGGGCGUGCUGCGCCAGUGGCAUGAGUAGUCUAGUAGUUCCUGGGCCAGGGAUCAAACCCAUACCAUAGCAGUGGCAAUGCUGAAUCCUUAGCAUUUUAUUGAUUUUUUUUUUUUCCCCAAUAAGAAUCAGCUUUUGGGAGUUCCCUGGUGGCUCAGCAGGCUAAGGACCUGACAUUGCCACUGCUGUGGCUCUGAUUGCUAGUGUGGCUUGAGUUUGAUCCCUGGCCUGGGAACUUCCACAUGCUACAAUUGUGGCCAUAAAAAAGAAACAGCUUUUGGUUUUGUCUUUUUCUUUCAUUCUUUCUUUUUUGAUUUUUAGGGCCUCACCCACGGCAUAUGGAAGUUCCUAGGCUAGGGGUCCAAUUGGAGCUGCAGCCCCUGGCCUAUGCCACAGCAUCACGGGAUCUGAACCAGGUCUGCGACCUAUACCACGUCUCACAGCAACGCCGGCUCCUUAACCCACUGAACAAGGCCAGGGAUCAAGCCCGCAACCUCAUGGUUCCUAGUCGGAUUCAUUUCUGCUGUGCCAUGAUGGGAACUCCAAGUUUUGUCUUUUUCUUUUGCUGUGCCUGUGACAUGCAGAAGUUCCCAGGCUGGAGACUGAACCUAAACCAUAGCAGUGACGAUGCUGGAUCCUUAACCUGCUGAGCCACCAGGAAAUUCCAUAAUUUCUUUCCUACGUUCAUUUUUAUCAUUUCAGUUUUCUGCUUAGUUUGGAAUUUGUUCUUCUUUAUCUAGUUUUCUUAGGUGAAAGUUUAUUGAUUUUAUUGAUUUUAUUUUUUUGGUCUUUUUUUUUUUUUGCCAUUUCUUGGGCCGCUUCCGCGGCAUAUGGAGGUUCCCAGGCUAGGGGUCGAAUCGGAGCUGUAGCUGCCAGCCUACGCCAGAGCCACAGCAACGCAGGAUCCGAGCCGAGUCUGCAAUCUACACCACAGCUCACGGCAACGCCGGAUCGUUAACCCACUGAGCGAGGCCAGGGAUCGAACCCGCAACCUCAUGGUUCCUAGUCGAAUUCGUUAACCACUGCGCCACGACAGGAACUCCAGUUUAUUGAUUUUAGAUCUUUCUUUUCUAAUAUAUGCUUUCAAUACUAUACCUUUUUCUCUAAGUACUGUUUUUGCUGUAUCCCCUAAAUUUCAGUAAGUUGUAAUUUCAUUUUGUCCAAACAUUUAAAAAAUUCUCUUUUUUUCUUCUUUGAGUCAUGUGUUAUUUAGAAGUGUGAUGUUUAAUUUUGCAGUACUUAGGGUUUUUCUUUCUUUCUUUCUUUCUUUUUUUUUUUGUCUUUUUGCUAUUUCUUGGGCUGCUCCCGCGGCAUAUGGAGGUUCCCAGGCUAGGGGUCUAAUCGGAGCUGUAGUCUCUGGCCUACGCCAGAGCCAUAGCAACUCGGGAUCCGAGCCGCAUCUGCAACCUACACCACAGCUCACGGCAAUGCCGGAUCGUUAACCCACUGAGCAAGGGCAGGGACCGAACCCGCCACCUCGUGGUUCCUAGUCGGAUUCGUUAACCACUGCGCCACAACGGGAACUCCUACUUAGGGGUUUUCUAGCUGUCUUUCUGUUACUAAUUUCUACUUUAAUUGCAUUGUGGUUUAAGGGCAGACAUUGGAUGAUUUCUGUUCUUUUAAAUUUGUUAAGGUGCGUUUCGUAGAAUGUGGCCUAUCUUGGUGAACGUUCUACAUGAGUUUGAGAAGAAUGUGUGAUAGGCUGUUGUUGGGCGAAGUAGUCCAGGCAUGUCGAUUACAUAGCAUUGAUUGAUGGCCCUGUUGAGUUCCGUUGUGUCUUCACUGAUUUUCUGCCUGCUGGAUUUGUCCAUUUUGUAUAGAGGAGGAUUGAAGACCUGAGUUAUUGUAGUGAAUUUAUCUAUUUCUCCUUGCUGUUUUAUCCAGUUUUGACUCAUGAAUUGUAAUGCUGUUGUGAGAUGCAUAACAUUAAGGAUUGUUAGGUCUUUUUGGAGUAUUGACAACCCCCCCUUUCCCUUUGUAAUAACUUUUUUUUCCCUUUUUUUGGUUUUUAGGGCUGCACCCGCAGCAUAUGGAAGUUCCCAGGCUCAGGGUCAAAUCAGGGCUACAGUUGCCAGUCUACACCACAGCCAUAGCAAUGUGGGAUCGGAGCCACAUCCACGACCUACACCACAGCUCGUGGCAAUGCUGGAUCCUUAACCCCCUGAGCAAGGCCACGGAUGGAACCCGCAUCCUUGUGGGUACUAAUCAGGUUCAUUACUGCUGAGCCACAAAGGCAAUUCCGCUCCCACUUUGUUUUAUUAGUGUUAGUAAGUGUAAUUCCAUCCCUUUACUUUUUUUAUUAUUAUUAGAGUAUAGUUGACUUACAAUGUUGAGCCAACUUCUGCUGUAUGUCCCUUUGCUAUUAACCUAUACGUGUCCCUGUGUUUAAAGUGGGUUUCUUGUAGGAAAUAUAUCAUAUGCCUGUGUGUAGGUUUUUGUUCUUGUUUUUGUUUCGCAUUUAUCCAGCUUGGUGUUCUUUGAGAGUUCUGGAUCUGUGGUUUGGUACAUGACCUUUUGGAGAACAUUCUCAGUCAUUAUUUCUUCAAAUGCUUUUUCUUUUUUUCCCCGUUUCCUUCUGGCAUUCCUAUUGCAUAUACGUUAUGCCUUUGGUAGUUGCCCCAUAGUUCUUGAUAUUCUGCUCCCUGCCCCUGCUCCCCCCACCCCAGUUUUUUUUCUCUUUGUGUUUCCACUUUGGAAGUUCGUAGGGUCUCAUCUUCAUGCUCAGUUUCUUUCCUCAGCUGUGUCCAGUCUGCCAAUGAGCUUAUCGAAGGCAGUCUUCAGUCUUUCUUUCUUUCUUUUGAAUUUAAUUUUAUUGGAGUUUAGCUGACUUACACUGUUGUAUUGGAAGGUAUUCUUCAUUUCCAUUACAGUGUUUCAGUCUCUAGCAUUUUUUUCUUUUUGCUUCCUAGGAUUUUUAUCUUUUUACAUUAUUCGUCUGUUACUGCAUGAAGUCAGCCUUUUUUGUUAAAGCUUUUAGCUUGUUCAUCAUGAUUCAGAAAAUUCCUGGUCUGAUAAUUCCAACAUUUCUGACAUAUGUGACUGAUGCUGGUGCCUGUUCAGUUCUUCACUUUAGUAAUCUGUUUUUGAAAGACAGACGUAGUCACUGGUCAAAGGAGCUGUGAAGAAUAGGCCUUUAGAGCUGCAGUGGUGAUGUGGGGGAGUGCUCUGUGGUCCUGUGACACGGUCUCCGUCUCUGGGUGAGCCCGCACCCCUGAACUGUGACCUUUACCAGUGCUUCUCUGCUUUGUUCCUUUCGUAGGUGGGACAGGAUGGCUAGAGUGGCCUGGAGUUGUGUACUUCCCUUCCUCAUGCGGAAGGUUAGAGGGGCUGGAGUUGGAUAUUUCCCUUCCUCCAGGUAGGUUAGGUUCUGGUAAAACCCCAGCGGGUUAGGUUUUGGUAAAAUAGGUGGUUUUUUGUUUUUUCUUUCUUUUUUUUCUUUUUUGGCCGCCCCAUGGCAUAUGGAGUUCCCAGGCCGGGGAUCUGAUCCGAGCCACAGUUGCAGCCUAUGGCGCAGCCGUGGCAACACUGGAUCCUUAACCCACUGAGAUACUGUGCUGGGUGGGGGAUUGAACCUGCAUCCCAGAGCUCCAGAGAUACCACUGAUCCUGUUAUGCCGCAGCAGGAACUCCAAAAUAGUAUUUUUGAAGGCCAGCUUUGUUAAGAACAGAAUGUCCAGGUAUAUUUCAGAACUGUUCCUUUUCCCUCCCAGAAACAAGAGAGGAGGGGAGAAGUCUCUCCACUUACUACUGAAGGACACUUGUGUAGCUUCCACGUACUGGCAGUUAUGGAUGAAGCUGCUGUAAACCUCUGUGUGCAGGUUUUUGUGUGGACAUAAGUUUUCAACUCCUUUGGGUAAAUACCAGCAACAUUGUUGGGUUGUAUGGUAAGGAUUGUAGGGUAGUUUUGUAAGAAACUGCUAAGCUGUCUUCCAGCUGCCUCUGGCUGUUUGCGCUUCCAGCAGGAAAUGAGAGUUCCUGCUGCCCCACAUCCUCACCAGCAUUUGGUGUCAGUGUUUUGGACUUUGGUCGUUCUUCUGGUGUGUAGUGGUAUCACGUGGUUUUAAUUUGCAUUUCUCUGACGACAUGAUGAUGUGGAGCAGUUUUCAUAUGAUCACGUCAUUUUUAAUCACUGUAUUUCAUGAGGUAGACCAAAGCACCUUGGUGCAGAUACAGCCAUUAUUAUUUCAAUUCCAUACAUUUGUGGAUGGCCUGGAAUGUUUAUCCUGUGGUGGUCCCCGCAGUGUGCUGUGACUUCUGUAUUUAGACAUUUCUCUUUUUUCUGUUAUAAACUCUUGGGUCAGUGUCAUGUAUGAGACUUUCGGCUUAGGAUAAACACCUUAGGAUGCACUCACUAGAGCAGAGUGAGCCAAAGAAUGUAUAGAUUUUAACAUCCUUUCAUAUCCAUGACCAGAGAAAUCACCCAGUUUAUACUUCUGUCAGCAGUUCCAGCCAGUUUUAUAUUAAUACAUAUUUAAAAUCUUUUUUUAUCAAGGGAGAGUUUUAACACAGAGACAUAGAAUAAUGUAAUGACCCCUCUGGUACUCAGCUCCAACAGUCAUACACCAAGGCCAGUCCUGUCCUACUUGCUCCUUCAGUGCCCACUUCUCUCCUGUGUUGUCACAAAAUAGUAGCUCCACUGAACUGAGAUAGAAAUGCAGAAAAGUACGCAUGUCAUGAAUGGGUUUUCACAGUCUGACACUCCCUGGCUAGUCAGUGCCCCAGGUAUCACCUUUGUCUGCUUUCAGUCACACGCACUUUGCCUGCGGCAACCAGAAGCGUGAUAUCUGACUGCCUGGACUAUUUCUGCCCAGUUUUGUUUUCCUUUGACAUGUAGAAUCUUAUGGUAUGUUCACUUGGGUCUAGUUUUUCUCUUGGCAUUGUGUUUGAGAGUAUCCACGUGCUUGCAGUUGUUAAUUCUUUAUUUUUGUUGUAUAUGAAAAUUUAAUGUAUGAAAAUAUUUAUUCUGUUAUUGCUGGACGUUUGGAUAGUGCCCCUUUGGGGGCCAUUACAAAUAGUGCUGCUCUGAGCAUUCAGAGUUUGUGUCUUUUGAGGCGGGAGGGUCCAGAUGGCAGAGGAGUAAGACGUGGCGUUCACCUUCUCCCACAAAAACAUUGGAAAAAACCCAUCUGCAUGUAGAGUGAUGUGCACAGAACAUCUACUGAACGCUGGCAGAAGACCAAAGUUUGUGCCUUUCGGUGAACAUAUGUUUGCCUUUCUGUCGAGGAUAAACCUGGAAGUGAAAUUGCUAGGUCACCGGGGUGCAUGUAUUCAGUUUUGGAAAACUGUGGCUGUACCUACUAAAGUGGGGUCAUUUAGUUAUCCUCUCCCCGCCCCCGCCCCCUUUUUGAUUGCACCCAUGGCAUGUGGAAGUUCCCAGGCUGGGGAUCACACCUGAGCUACAGCAACGACUAGAGCUGCAGCAGUGCUGGCUCCUUAACCUGCUGAGCCACAAGGUAACUCCUGGUUAUCCUUUUUUAAUGAGUAAUAUUUGAGUCUCUUGUUCUUUCUUCUGUUGCAUUAUCUGUUCUUACUGUAUUAGCUCUUUGUUGCUAUAUAAUAAUAAUUAUCCCCAAACAUAGUGGCUUAUGACAACAGUAAACAUUAUCUCACAGUUUUUGUGGGUUAAGAACUUGGGAGCAGCUUGGCUGGGCCAUUCUGGCUUGGGUGUCACCAGCCUUCUGAAGACUUGACUGCAGCUGAGGGCCCUUCCCAAGCGGCUGGCUCACAGGCCUGGCAGGUUAGUCCUGGCUGUUCCUUUUCUGGUCGGCCUUCGUCAGAGUGUCCUGUCCUUGGGACGGGGUGACUGACUUUCCCCAGCACAGAGAUUUGAGAGAAAGAACACCAAGUGGAAACUGUCACACACACCCCCCCUUUUGGGCUGCCCCAUGGCAGAUGGAGUUCCCAGGCUAGGGAUCAGAUCCGAACCACAAUUGGGACCUACUACGAAAGAGCUGUGGCAACCCCAGGCCCUUAACCCACUCUGCCAGGCUGGGGAUUGAACCUGUGGCCUGGCGCUACGGAGAGACUGCCGAUCCUGUUGCGCCACAGCGGGAUCUCUGAAGCUAUCAUUUUUAUGACACAGCCUCAAAAGUCUCGGGGUGUUUAAUUUUGCCGUGGUCUGUUAGAAGAGAGUCACUUAAAUCAGCCCAGCUUGGGGAGUUAAGUUUUUUGAAACGAAUGUCAAAGAAUUUGUGGACAUUCUUUCUUUUUCAGCUGUGCCCACAGAAUGUGAGAGUUAUGGGGCCAGGGACUGAAUCCAAGCCAGAGCUCCGACCUGCACCACAGCUGCAGCCAUGCAGGAUCCUUAACCCGCUGUGCAGGGCUGGGGAUUGAACUGCUUCCCCCACCCAGUGACAGGCUGCAUCAUUAACUCACUGUGCCACAGCAGGAACUCCAAAGUUGUUAGAUAUAUUUUCUUUUUUUUUGUCUUUUUAGGCCCAUACCUGCAAAAUAUGGAAGCUCUCAGGCUAGGGGUCAAAUAGGAGCUGCAGCUGCUGGCUUAUACCACAGCCACAGCAGUGCGGGAUCUGAGCCGCUUCUGUGACCUACACCACAGCUCAUGGCAACACCGGAUCCUUAGCCCACUGAGGGAGGCCAGGGAUGGAACCUGAGUCCUCACGGAUACUAGUCAGGUUCAUUACCGCUGAGCCACAGUGGGAAUUCCAUAUAUUUAAAAAAAUUUUUUUUUCCCAUUUUUUAAAGUUUUAUUUUUGUGUAGAUGGUUUACAGUGUUGCGAUAGUCUCUGCUGUGCAGCAGAGGGAUUCAGUCAUGCCUGUACCACAUCCGUUCUUUUGCAGGUUCUUUUCCCAGGUAGGUUAUCACAGAGUACUGGGCGGAGUUUCCCUGUUGGCCAGUCGUUCCGUUCCGUGCACCCCAGGUACCUGCUAAUCCCAAGCCCUUAGCGUGGAUGUAUUUGCAAACGCGACACAUUGGUAGGGUUUCUUUCCUACCAGGAUUUCAUUCUGGAUGAGAAUCUUUGGGAGACAGAAGCAUCAUGAAUAUCUUUGCUUACUCCAUGGGCCGUCAUUAGUCUUUUGAGGAAGAGGAGUUAGUGUAAUUCACUGGAUUAGUUUCUCCUUCAUCCCUAGCCCUUUCUCAUUACUUUGAAGAAAAUCCAAAAACAGUCAUUUUGCUUCUUCUGUAUGUCAGUAUAGAUCUUUCAAAGAUAAAACCUUUUUUUUUUUUUUGGUUUUAACCAUAACAUAAUCACAAAACUGUAAUAAUCUAACAAACCCUACCACACAGUACUUGUUUAAUAUUAUCCAAUACCUGAUUGGAGGUGAAUAUCCAUUUGUCUCAAUACAAUUUUUAUGUACUAUUUUUUUCUAUUUUGGCAAAUCAGGCUCCAAAUAAGUGUAACAAUUCAGACAAUCUACAGAUUCCCCAGUCAUCACUCUUCCACAACCCCUUUGCCAUCUGUUUGUCAAAGACCUGGAAUUUUUGUUUUGUGGUAUCCCCACUGUCCUCUGUUGUGUACACAGCUAAGUUUCUUCUUUGGGCCGGGAACUCUCUUGCCAUCUCACUGGUGUUUCUUCUUUGGUUGUGAUCUGUCUCUGGAGGUUGAAUGUGGACCCAAAUUGAAAUUUUUAAAAAGGAAAAAAAAAAGCCUCUAAACACAGUUGAGAUUCAAAUGUAUAAAACCAAUUAAGGCCACCUCUACGCUUUAAACACAGGUGCCCAGCUGUUAGUAAACAUUUUUCCUUGUAUAUCUCGCAAGCACAUUAAAUUUAUUAUCUCCUAGAUCAGACUCCUCCUGUCAAACACCAACCACCAACCACACCUUUUCCUCAGCAAGUCCUCCCUGUGCCGGAAAAGGCACGUCCCAGCUGUAAAAGACGAAGGUCACUGCAGAGGCAUAGGUUCAGUUCCCAGCCCAGUGCAUUGGUUUAAAGGAUCUAGAGUUGCUCUAACUCCGGGUCAGUCCCUGGCCCAGAAACUUCCGCAUGCCAUGGGUGCGGCCACAAAAUAAAUUAAAAAAAAAAAAAAAAAAAAAAAAA
rnacentral:lncRNA from 1 species